CCUGCCAGUCAUAUGCUUGUCUCAAAGAUUAAGCCAUGCAUGUCUGAGUACAGACCGAUCUAAGGUGAAACCGCGAAUGGCUCAUUAAAUCAGUCAUAAUUCCUUGGAUAGUGAAAAACUUUCCUCGGAUAACUGUGGAAAAUCCAGAGCUAAUACGUGCAACUGAGCUCCGACCUUGGCGUAAGUCUUGGGAAGAGCGCAUUUAUUAKAUUCAAAACUGACCGGUGUACUCCUUCGGGAUAUACCGUUCGUCAAAUGUUUGAUGACUCCKGAUAACUUARCCGAGCGCUACGGUCUUUAGUACCGGCGCCGUAUCUUUCAAGUGUCUGCCUUAUCAGCUUUCGAUUGUAGGUUAAACGCCUACAAUGGCUGUAACGGGUAACGGGGAAUCAGGGUUCGAUUCCGGAGAGGGAGCCUGAGAAACGGCUACCACAUCUAAGGAAGGCAGCAGGCACGCAAAUUACCCACUCCCAGCCCGGGGAGGUAGUGACGAAAAAUAACGAUGCGAGACUCUUCCGAGGCCUCGCARUCGGAAUGAGUCCAUUUUAAAUCCUUGGACGAGGAUCCAUUGGAGGGCAAGUCUGGUGCCAGCAGCCGCGGUAAUUCCAGCUCCAAUANCGUAUAUUAAAGUUGCUGCGGUUAAAAAGCUCGUAGUUGGACUUUCUAGAGCCAUUUCGUGGAUGAGUCGCUCUUUGUACUGGCGUCUUAUGCAGUUCCUUGAUGAAGUCGCUGAGUGUUUUUCUUUUUCGGCUCUCCGGUCGUUGAARAGGAUGCCGGCGUUAUGGAAUCUUGUGGGCGGUGAGGCGUUGUCUUAGAGUAUAGCUCGUUCGCGUUUGGUACAAUUAWRAUUUUGUCGGCUCGCUYGGAGUGYUCUUYACCGAGUGUUCCAGGGUGGYUGACACGUUCACUUUGAAAAAAUUAGAGUGCUUAAAGCGGGCUUAUUUACGGCCUGAAKGUCUGUGCAUGGAAUGAAGUAACAGGACCUCGAUUCUGUUGUUUUUGUCGGUUUUAUUGAACCGAGGUAAUGAUUNAWAGGGACAGACRGUSGCRUUAGUAYUGCGGCGCUMGAGGUGAAAUUCKUGGACCGUCGCAAGACUAACUACUGCGAAAGCAUUUGCCGAGAAUGUUUUCAUUAAUCAAGAACGAAAGUUAGAGGAUCGAAGGCGAUCAGAUACCGCCCUAGUUUUAACCUUAAACUAUGCUAACUAGCGAUCCGCCGGAGUCAUUCCCACGACCCGGCGGGAAGCCCCAGGGAAACCAAAGUCUUNGAGUUCCGGGGGAAGUAUGGUUGCAAAGCUGAAACUUAAAGGAAUUGACGGAAGGGCACCACCAGGAGUGGAGCSUGCGGCWUAAUUUGACUCAACACGKGAAACCUCACCAGGYCCGGACAUCAUAAGGAUUGACAGGUUGAGAGCUCUUUCUYGAUYUGAUGGGUGGUGGUGCAUGGCCGUUSUUAGUUGGUGGAGUGAUCUGUCUGGUUGAUUCCGAUAACGAACGAGACUMUACCCUACUAACUAGUCGGCGSAUCGUUACCMUGAGAUGGUUASUUKGUAUAGGAGAGUUUKGCCWAGAUAGAGUCCGAUCGAUAGGUUUAUCCAUUCGUUACKAGYUAUUKGUAGCGACGCGGAUGGUGCGCCUAGAGAAUCCGGAUMUCUGUCGAAGCGGCUUUSUGAUUAMUASUAMYGCUGGGGGCGUCCGUCGCAAUGUAUCUUMUWAGAGGGAUCAGCGGCGUAUAGCCGCACGAGAAAGAGCAAUAACAGGUYUGUGAUGCCCUWMGAUKUUCUGGGCCGCACGCGCGCUACAAUGUAGGGCUCAGCGUGCUUUCCCUCUYCGAAAGGAGCGGGCAACCCGUUGAAACCCCUACCCGAUUGGGAUUGGGGAUUGCAAUUAUUUCCCAUAAACGAGGAAUUCCCAGUAAGCGCGAAUCAUUAAUUCGCGCUGAWUACGUCCCUGCCCUUUGUACACACCGCCCGUCGCUACUACCGAUUGAAUGAUUCAGUGAGGGCAUCGGACUGGCCCUUCGGUUUAGUUACCUAGACCUUAGNCUGACGGNAAGAUGUCCGAMYUGAUCAUUUAGAGGAGUAAAGUCGUAC
rnacentral:rRNA from 1 species